CCUUCAUUUAUCUACGAUAGAACACAUUUAUCUAGAACCAAAGGAGGCUGGGUUCUAAUGUUCAUGUUCAUCUGCAGCCGGUUUACAGACCAAGUUCAGGAACUUAAACCAGACGUUCCAAAGGUUCCAAAGAAGAGCUAGAUAUCCGACAUUUAUCACAUUAAUAUUCAGGUUUUAGAUGUUUUAUUACAUUAAUAUUCAGGUUUUAGAUGUUUUAUUACAUUAAUAUUCAGGUUUUAGAUGUUUCAUCACAUUAAUAUUCAGGUUUUAGAUGUUUUAUUACAUUAAUAUUCAGGUUUUAGAUGUUUUAUUACAUUAAUAUUCAGGUUUUAGAUGUUUUUUACAGUAAUAUUUGGGUGUAUCUCCUCUAGAAAGCUAACAUUCACUCAUUCAUAUGUUGUUUCCUUCAUAACGAUCAAACUCAAGACACAAAGUAAUUCUGGAGUUUUUCUCCUCUGAUUGUUCAGAUGUGAAUAGAAGAAGAUUUAGCCUCUACACAUGAGGACGUAGCUGCAACGAUGUCAUGGUGAUGGUUAGAUACGAUUGGUUAGAAGCCCCAGUCUCCUGGUGUCUAAAGGUUCUGGUAGCUUCUCUCUAGAUGACCACUUCCUGUUG